rnacentral:lncRNA from 1 species
UCAUGUUUUCUCAGAUGUAAAUUGUGUUGAUUCAUGUUUUUCCUUCUUAGGACAUCAGAUCUUAGGCUAUAUGAGAUUGCUGUGUUUUUAUUGAUUACUGAUUUGGUUAACCUUAACUCUUUGGAUGACAGGUGUAUGCUGGAUUUGCAAAGAUACUCUUUUUCUUGUUGAUAAUGAGAAACAUCUUCUAAGAAGACACUUUGAGACAAUACAGGAGUCUCACAAGGAAUAAAGAAAGACACAACAGUCCCUUGACGGUGGUGAAGGCUUGAGCUCACCCAUAGAUGAAGCACCUGCUAGGAAACUGGAAUCCUCUUAUAUAACUUUUACUUGAAAGUGGCAAUGCCACAGUUUAAUAAAGCUUGGCUUCCCAG